ensembl:rRNA 5S_rRNA 5S ribosomal RNA
GUCUGGAGUCAUACUGUCCUAGACACACCUGAUCUCAUCUGCUCUCAGAAACCAAGCAGGAUUGGGAUUGAUGAAUACUUAGAUGGGAGAAACCGAGAUGUGAGUAGUAAGGGUGUACUAGUUGCUACUGUCC